ACUCAUCUCCACAUUUACAAAUAAUGUCUUUCCUCGUUCAUCCUUUUCUCCCACAAAAUAAACUACUUACACAAAUGCAUCUUAAUGUUCCGUGCAACGCAGGGGCAUCUUGCUAGUAAUUUACUAAUAUGUGGUGGCAUCAUUCCUGAUUUCCCGAGACAAAGCACAAAUAGAUUCCAGCAAUGCUGCUCUAAAAUUGAGAUGAACGGCGUAUGCAAGGAUUACAACAUGUGUAUUUUAGUACAUGUAUGAAGAUAGAAGUAAAAGCAUGAAGAAAUUUGUCCUUUGCCAAACAAACAAAGAAGCGGAGAGAAAAAAAGAAAAACACAAGGAGAGCCUUGCGUGAUGGACAAAAUAGAGUGGUACACAAUCAAGUACCCCAUCAGUCGCAAAUUAAAUGUAGUACAACUUCAGUGCAAUGUUUUUUAUGCUAAAAUGUAGUACAAUGUUUUUUAUGCUUACUUAAAACUAAUCGUCUCAUGAAGCAUAUUGGCCUCGACACGAGAAACACACCGUUACAAAGUUACGCCAUGGAAAAUUAACAAAGAGUAUAAUCUUGUUAUUAAACUUAGAUAUACAAAAAGGGGGAGAAGUAACACGAUAUAUCCCCUUGCCACAAAGCAGAGUAUCUUCCAGUUGUCAAAAAAAAGCAGAGUGUCUUCCAGUUGUCAAAGAAAAAGCAGAGUAUCGCCCAUCUAGAAAAACAGAGUCCACCCCCUCACUAAACAAUAUAUACCACUAUAAAAACGCAGAGUAUCUUCCUUUGCUUACAAACCAGCCAUACCCAAGCACAGGAAAUUGGACAAACUUUCAUCCUUUGUUUUGCCCUCAAUGACCUUUUGUCUACUCCUCUACCAAUGGGGCGUCAUCUAUGAAUUUUCAUCUCCAGCAAAAGCACUAUCUAAUAACAAAAUUAUCAAUGGCCAUGUUAUACGCUCUGAAACAUAUGCACAUAUAUACUGGUAUACAAAGAUUAUACACACGAUUUCUAUCUUUAUCAGGUAGGUGCCUUGGGUUAUGUCACAUCUUGAAAAUAAAUGCUCAACGCGCAGCAAGCCACUGAAGACAAUGCUCCUGGCAGGCAACCUUUGAUGUGUGUGUGUGUGUGUGUGUGUGUGUGUGUGUGUUAUUAGACAGUACUUUCUCGCAAGUUAAACUAUCUUGCAACCCAGCCACCAAAUAACUAUCAUGUAACUAUCCAAAAUUGCACAGAUGAUAAAGUUGGUCAUCACGAGGCAAACAACAUGAAUGAGAAAAAUGAUAUGCACAUGUCUGCCAACCAAAAUCAGGUUAUUAGAAAACUACCUUAUUUUUAAGAUGCGAUAUAAAUCUGAAAUUGCAUAGAUGAAAAUUUUGAUCAUCAUCAAGGAAAGCAAUGUGAAUGAUAUGCACAGGUGUGGUAGCCAAAAGGCACAAGCCAUAACAUAAUGGUACACAACAUUGAAUCAAUGUUUCAUGAUCAAGUGUGAAAUUUUCUGUCAAAAAGAAUAGAACGGAAAAAAACUUGCUCAAGAAAAGAAAUCUGGACAUAAAAAAAACAAAUCUUGCUUAAUUAGAGUACACCAUAUCUUGAAUGGAUAAACUUAGAUGGCUCCUUUUUGCUGGAAAAACUAAACAAUUCCUAAUUGGCUAGAUUUAAUUCGGCACUUUUAGCUGCAAAACAACAUGGAAUUCCUAAGUACAUACCAAACGCCUCGGUAAGUACUGACCUUCUAAACCUUCCCAAUCUUGCGUUGACAUGGAGAAAAGUGCCCGUGUAACAUCACAGAGUUCCUCUGUUCCUAAGGAGGAAACACAUGAAUUUCUUCCCAGAGCUUCAAAUUAAAACGGUGACUUGCUAGGAAACCAGUGCACAAAGUAAGAAGUCGGAAUUUUUCAUUGAUCAAGGAUCAAAUGAAAAGUGUACUGAAAAAGAAAGUUCUCCUGGAGAAAGGUGUGCAAAACUGUACUAACCACAUCCCAAACCAAAUUUAUGGAAAUUCAGCAGGCUACUCCCAAUCACUUACACAAUGUAGGAGAUGGAGAUGUACCUGUCAAAGGAAAACCGACAGCCAUUUUAAAGAACAAUGCAACGACAUAUAGCUUCCAGUUUAGUACAUGCCAAAACUGAUCUAUUGUGAUCAUCAAGAAAUUUUGGUGUACUAAAUACACUCUGUAUCAAAAUAUAAGACAUUUUUUGACACUAUGACAGUGUCAAAAACAUCUUAUAUUUUGGUACGGAGAGAGUAACUUUUAACACAAAAUUAUGGCCUGUAUAAUAUUCAAUGAAUAUGGUCUGUCUUCUUAUUCAAAUUUUCCAUGCAACUAUUCCUUUAUAUAAUACUUAAUACUUAAAGUUUCAUUCGACAAGAAGAAUUAAGAAACGAAAUUGAAACCAAACAUUGUUGCUUCGGACACUGGUAUAGAUACAGUAGCUGAUAUUGUAGAAUAAUGAUACUUUGGACACAAUAAGGUAGCGCCAACUGAUACCAUCACAUAUCUGCAAUUGCACAAGGAGAUUUUAUUCUUUCAUCAGUACCCAUACAUUGGUCCUUGUCAGAUCAGAAUUCAGAAGGUGAAGGGCAGUGAGAUCCAUGGGAGUGUGACCAGCAUGGAACGCGUUGGCAGGGAGGGGAAGUAGGAGUAGGUGGUGGCGCCGCCGCCGACGUACUUGCGGAUGUCAGCGUUGAAGGAGACAGGGAAGGGCGCCGAUGAGACGGCUAUGAGGAGGGGGAGGUGGUUGUGGUCGGAGGUGGGGCUGCUGCCGCAGGAAAGCGAGGACGCAACAGAGCCGUUGGGGCACGAACGGCGCCGACGGCGAACUUGUGAAGUCAACACCGGAGAGGGCUGCAUCGACAACCUACUUGCCAAGGACCAAGUCAGGCAGACUGGGAAGGGGGCCGGGAGGUGGAGACGACGAGGAUUAGAGGGUCCUGGUGGUGGUCGGCGGUGAGGCUUGAGAUUCGUUGGGGGACGGAGCGCACCGACAGCAGCGAUUUCUCCAGAUCGUUCCGUGGCCUUCUUUUUGUCCUGAGAUUUCUAGAUGACGUGGGAGAGAGAUGGGCUGAACGGGAGGGACA
rnacentral:lncRNA from 1 species